GAUGAACGCUGGCGGCGUGCUUAACACAUGCAAGUCGAACGAACCUUCGGGUUAGUGGCGGACGGGUGAGUAACGCGUGGGAAUCUGCCCUCAGGAGGGGGAUAACGGUUGGAAACGACCGCUAAUACCCCAUAUGCCGAGAGGUGAAAUGAAUUUCGCCUGAGGAUGAGCCCGCGUCUGAUUAGCUUGUUGGUGAGGUAAUGGCUCACCAAGGCAUCGAUCAGUAGCUGGUCUGAGAGGAUGAUCAGCCACACUGGGACUGAGACACGGCCCAGACUCCUACGGGAGGCAGCAGUGGGGAAUUUUCCGCAAUGGGCGAAAGCCUGACGGAGCAACGCCGCGUGAGGGACGAAGGCCUCUGGGCUGUAAACCUCUUUUCUCAAGGAAGAAGAUAUGACGGUACUUGAGGAAUAAGCCACGGCUAAUUCCGUGCCAGCAGCCGCGGUAAUACGGGAGUGGCAAGCGUUAUCCGGAAUUAUUGGGCGUAAAGCGUCCGCAGGCGGCCUUUCAAGUCUGCUGUUAAAGCGUGGAGCUUAACUCCAUCAUGGCAGUGGAAACUGAUUGGCUUGAGUAUGGUAGGGGCAGAGGGAAUUCCCGGUGUAGCGGUGAAAUGCGUAGAUAUCGGGAAGAACACCAGUGGCGAAGGCGCUCUGCUGGGCCAUUACUGACGCUCAUGGACGAAAGCCAGGGGAGCGAAAGGGAUUAGAUACCCCUGUAGUCCUGGCCGUAAACGAUGAACACUAGGUGUCGGGGGAAUCGACCCCUUCGGUGUCGUAGCUAACGCGUUAAGUGUUCCGCCUGGGGAGUACGCACGCAAGUGUGAAACUCAAAGGAAUUGACGGGGGCCCGCACAAGCGGUGGAGUAUGUGGUUUAAUUCGAUGCAACGCGAAGAACCUUACCAGGGCUUGACAUCCUGCGAACCUUUAAGAAAUUAGAGGGUGCCUUCGGGAACGCAGUGACAGGUGGUGCAUGGCUGUCGUCAGCUCGUGUCGUGAGAUGUUGGGUUAAGUCCCGCAACGAGCGCAACCCACGUUUUUAGUUGCCAGCAUUUAGUUGGGCACUCUAGAAAGACCGCCGGUGAUAAACCGGAGGAAGGUGUGGAUGACGUCAAGUCAUCAUGCCCCUUACGUCCUGGGCUACACACGUACUACAAUGCUACGGACAAAGGGCAGCAAACUCGCGAGAGCUAGCAAAUCCCAUAAACCGUGGCUCAGUUCAGAUCGUAGGCUGCAACUCGCCUACGUGAAGUAGGAAUCGCUAGUAAUCGCAGGUCAGCAUACUGCGGUGAAUACGUUCCCGGGCCUUGUACACACCGCCCGUCACACCAUGGAAGUUGGCCACGCCCGAAGUCGUUACUUUAACCCUUGUGGAGAAGGACGCCGAAGGUGGGGCUGAUGACUGGGGUG
rnacentral:rRNA from 1 species